CAUAGCGGUAUCCUGAGUAACGCGGGACACGAGGAAUCCUGCGCGAAUCUGCCGGGACCAUCCGGUAAGGCUAAAUACUCCCGUGAGACCGAUAGCGAACGAGUACUGUGAAGGAAAGGUGAAAAGAACCCCGAGCAGGGGAGUGAAAUAGUUCCUGAAACCAUACGCCUACAAGCGGUCGGAGCAUCGCAAGAUGUGACGGCGUGCCUUUUGCAUAAUGAUCCUACGAGUUACCGUCACUGGCGAGGUUGAGUGUCACGAGACACGUAGCCGCAGUGAAAGCGAGCCUGAACAGGGCGCACAGUCAGUGGGGGUAGACGCGAAACCAAGUGAUCUACACUUGGCCAGGAUGAAGUCCCGGUAACACGGGAUGGAGGUCCGCACCAAUAAGCGUUGAAAAGCUUCUGGAUGAGCCGAGUGUAGGAGUGAAAGGCCAAUCAAACUUGGAGAUAGCUCGUACUCCCCGAAAGGCAUUUAGGUGCCGCGUCGGAUGGUCACCGUGAGAGGUAGAGCGACCGAUAGGACAAGAGGGCUUCACCGCCUAUCGAGUCCUGACGAACUCCGAAUGCUCACGGUCUGCAGUCCGGCAGUAAGGGGGCGGGUGCUAAGGUCCGUCCCCGAGAGGAGAAGAAUCCAGACCGCCGUCUAAGGUCCCGGAGUUCUGCCUGAGUUAGUCUAACGAAGUCUGGUCCCUAUGACAGCUAGGAUGUUGGCUUGGAAGCAGCCAUUCAUUCAAAGAGUGCGUAACAGCUCACUAGUCGAGGGUCCGGGCAUGGAUAAUAAUCGGGUAUAAGGCAGACACCGAAGGCGCGGGAUAGCAAUUAUAAAAGUAUCGGUAGGGGAGCAUACUCACAGCGUCGAAUGGUGUACGUAAGUUAUCCUGGAGCGGUGAGUAAAGCAAAUGUAGGAAUAAGUAACGAUAAGGAGGGUUAGAUUCCCUCCCGCUGUAAGACCAAGGUUUCCCGGGCAAUGCCAAUCAGCCCGGGGUCAGUCGGGUCCUAAGUCUAAGCCGAACGGCGAUGGCGAUGGCAGAGACGGUUAAUAUUCCGUCACUGCCGCAUGGGGCGA
rnacentral:rRNA from 1 species